AUUGACUUGCACUGCGGAUGUGAAGGCUUAGCAUCGAAAGAGAGAACAGAUUGGAUAUCUGUGACAAACAGUAAAUAGUCGGAUCUGUUUCACCAUUUGAAGUUGUACCCUAAAGACGAGUCUGUUCUGGAAACAACAAAGAAACCUGCUGGUGGAGGAAUCACACCACCAGCACCCAUGACAGGUUCGGCGAUGAACGCAGCAAUCUGAAGUGGAAAACCGGACACGGAAGAAAGGGUCAAUUAUAGUUUCAUGCCAUAUUCUAAUUCAAAGUAGAGUAUUCAAGUUUACUGUCUCUGGUCCCUCCUUGAGUAUAAGGUCUUCCAAGUUUUUGGCUAAUCUGGUUGAGAACUCUUCCUCUGUCUCACCUGACACAAGGAUGUUUUCAAGUUAAUGACUGAAAAAAAAUCAAAGAAAUUGAACUACUGUAAAUUGAAGCAUAGAUCAGAACCUGGAAGAUGGUAACGCCAGUAAUGUGGACAAUCAGUGUGCAGAACAAAUGGAGCAGGAAUGUCAAACUUCUGGUGCAUAGCUGGAAGGCUGUGAAAAAAUAUAUUCGAGUAACUAUUUCUUUUAACAAGAGACAUGAGAACAAGAGUUCGUGUUAGUGCAGAUUGUGAUACCCAAGGAUGUGCACCAUAGACCGGCAAGAGAAUCAAGAUGCCUCUGUACCAUGUAAGCGGGACAGGAAAGGAGCGAGGACGACACGUUCCCAUGAUGCUUUUCUAAAAGAAGUGAAUGCUUUUGUUAAGGAACUCGGUAAUCUGAAACAAUGGACGAAGAUCUUCUAAUUAUCAGAGAUGGAAAAGUAAAGCUGCUCCAUGAAAAAUCAAGGAAACAAAAAGGGUGGUUGACAUUUCCUCAAAGUUUUGGAUCGAACAAGAUUUGGGCGUUUGAUUUGUAACCUGAGGCCUGAGAGUGGAAUGAAGGAGGUGGUUGACGGCCAUUGUUAGAGGGCCUCCGGAAGAAUGCGAGCGAGGAAUGGAGCUCAAGUGGCCGCAGAGAAAGAGAUGAGAAAGACGAGGGAGGAAGGGGGCUGCCUCGUCUCAUAUAAUACCGAGUGAAUUUUACGACAAAGUUGGAAGAAUCGAGCUUUCCCUUCAACCAAGGGAAAUCCGCAGAAACCUGGUCUGAAAUCACUGAAGCAUCGAUUUCUUGAGAAGGGAGCAAGGAAGGAAGGGGAAAAGGGAUGGAUUGCAGCAAAUGGGGGUUUCAAUGUUGGGCGAUGUUGCAGCUGCCCCCAUCGCCGGGCUUCGAGAGAUUUCUUGAGAAAGCAAAAGGUAGAGGAAAAUGGAUGGAUUGCAGUAAAUGGGGGUUUCAGUGUUGGGCGAUGUUGCAGCAGCAACCAUCACCGGGCUUCGAGAGGCGAAAUGAUGAAGACAGAAAUUUCAAUGAGAAAAGUACCUCAUCAGCAACAAAAAGUAUAUCAUACUUGUUGAGCACAGCUUGGAUCUGCAAGGUAAAUAAAAAUGAUCAUAGUUGCAUCAAUGGGAGAAAUCUAAGGCCUUGAACAGUAGCCAAGAUUGGAGAAGUUUGGGGAAAGACGUGUGAGAGUAAAGAUGGCAUGUCUGUGACAAACAGUUGGAUGAGUUUGUUCCAGAAGCAACAAAGAAACCUGUUAUAGAGUUCUACCAUAGGUUCCGUGAUCCAUCUGUAUUAUAUUUUUCUCAUUUUUUUGUUCAUACUCGAGCAUCCAAAAAUAUUGUUGUCCUCCAAGCUUUUGGUUUUAAUCCCCUUAAUCUCUUCAGCACACUCAUCAUGGAAAAUGUAAAUUAUGUAAUCCUCUUAUAGAACGAAAAAUUAAAGCAAACUAAAUAUGAAAGGAGGAAAAUAAAACAGAAAGAAGAGAACAUAAUUGGAAAAAGAAAUAAAGAAUAGACAACAAAAUAAGGAAAGUCUUACUGUUGCCUACGCUUACUUUAAGCAUUUCAUGGUACAAACAGCUUACCUUCUCAAAAUAAGUUGUAGGUGGGAGAAUCACACCACCAGCUCCCAUGACAGGUUCAGCGAUGAACGCAGCAAUCUGAAGUGGAAAAUUAGACAAGGGAGAAAGAUUCAAUUAUGGUAUCAUGUUAUAGUCUAAUUCGAAGGAGUAUUCAUGUUUACCGUCUCUGGCCCCUCCUUAAGUAUAAGGUCCUCCAACCUUUUCGCUAAUCUUGUUGAGAACUCUUCCUCUGUUUCACCUGACAUAAGGAUGCUCUUAAGUUAAUGGCUGGAAAAAAAAAGGAUCAAAGUAUUUGAACCAACUGUAUAUGAAAGCAUAGAUCAGAACCUGGAAGAUGGUAACGCCAGUAAUGUGGACAAUCAGUGUGCAGAACAAACGGAGCUGGAAUGUCAAACCCUUGGUGCCCACCUGUGAUACUGGAAAAAUAUAUUCGACUACUUAUUUCUUUUAACAAGAGGCAUGAGAUUGUGGUACCUAAGGAUGUGCACCAUAGACCAGCAAGAGAAUCAAGAACAAAAGUUCGUGUUGAUGCAGAUUGUGGUACCUAAGGAUGUGCACCAUAGACCAGCAAGAGAAUCAAGAAGAGUGCAAAGAAGGAAUAAAUAGUUAAAGUUUAACUCAAUGUACCCUGAAUCCUCUGUUUGUGCUGACGCCUGUGUACUGUAUAAGUUGGACAUGAUGAUAUGUUCUUGUGAAGCUCUUCUAGAAGCAGCAAAGGACUAUUACCAAGAAGCAGUUUCAUAUCAAAUGACAAACAAUCGUAAGGGGCAGCGAGAAAAUUAAGAAGAAAAUGAUGCAUUGGGCGUUUGAUUUUGAUACCUGAGAGUGGAACGAAGAAGGUUAUUGACAAUGAAUAUUGUGGGAUGAACUCCCUCGAGAAUGUGUUCUUAGAGCUUCAAAUGGAUAUGCACACACACAGGACUAGAGAGUUGAAAUUUAACCACAAAUUUGCAACCGAA